rnacentral:rRNA from 1 species
GGUUGUAAACUGCUUUUAUAAGUGAGGAAUAUGACGGUAACUUAUGAAUAAGGAUCGGCUAACUACGUGCCAGCAGCCGCGGUCAUACGUAGGAUCCAAGCGUUAUCCGGAGUGACUGGGCGUAAAGAGUUGCGUAGGUGGUUUGUUAAGUAGAUAGUGAAAUCUGGCGGCUCAACCGUACAGGCUAUUAUCUAAACUGACAAACUCGAGAAUGGUAGAGGUAACUGGAAUUUCUUGUGUAGGAGUGAAAUCCGUAGAUAUAAGAAGGAACACCAAUGGCGUAGGCAGGUUACUGGACCAUUUCUGACACUGAGGCACGAAAGCGUGGGGAGCGAACAGGAUUAGAUACCCUGGUAGUCC